UACAGAGGGUGCGAGCGUUAAUCGGAAUUACUGGGCGUAAAGGGCGCGUAGGCGGAUAGUUUAGUCAGAGGUGAAAGCCCAGGGCUCAACCUUGGAAUUGCCUUUGAUACUGGCUAUCUUGAGUUCGGGAGAGGUGAGUGGAAUGCCGAGUGUAGAGGUGAAAUUCGUAGAUAUUCGGCGGAACACCAGUGGCGAAGGCGACUCACUGGCCCGAUACUGACGCUGAGGCGCGAAAGCGUGGGGAGCAAACAGG
rnacentral:rRNA from 1 species